rnacentral:rRNA from 1 species
CUACGGGAUGCUCCAGUGGGGAAUAUUGCACAAUGGGCGCAAGCCUGAUGCAGCCAUGCCGCGUGUAUGAAGAAGGCCUUCGGGUUGUAAAGUACUUUCAGCGGGGAGGAAGGGAGUAAAGUUAAUACCUUUGCUCAUUGACGUUACCCGCAGAAGAAGCACCGGCUAACUCCGUGCCAGCAGCCGCGGUAAUACGGAGGGUGCAAGCGUUAAUCGGAAUUACUGGGCGUAAAGCGCACGCAGGCGGUUUGUUAAGUCAGAUGUGAAAUCCCCGGGCUCAACCUGGGAACUGCAUCUGAGACUGGCAAGCUUGAGUCUCGUAGAGGGGGGUAGAAUUCCAGGUGUAGCGGUGAUAUGCGUAGAGAUCUGGAGGAAUACCGGUGGCGAAGGCGGCCCCCUGGACGAAGACUGACGCUCAGGUGCGAAAGCGUGGGGAGCAAACAGGAUUAGAUACCCCGGUAGUC